GAUGAACGCUGGCGGCGUGCCUAAUACAUGCAAGUCGAGCGAGCGGCGGACGGGUGAGUAAUGUCUGGGAAACUGCCUGAUGGAGGGGGAUAACUACUGGAAACGGUAGAUAAUACCGCAGAUCAUCAGAUGUGCCAAGAUGGGAUUAGCUAGUAGGUGGGGUAAUGGCUCACCUAGGCGACGAUGCCUAGCUGGUCUGAGAGGAUGACCAGCCCAAAUGGGACUGAGCCACGGUCCAAGCUCCUACGGGAGGCAGCAUGGGGGAAGAUUGCACAAGGGGCGAAAGCCUGAAGCAGCCAUGCCGCGUGUGUGAAGAAGGCCUUCGGGUUGUAAAGCACUUUCAGCGAGGAGGCGUUACUCGCAGAAGAAGCACCGGCUAACUCCGUGCCAGCAGCCGCGGUAAUUC
rnacentral:rRNA from 1 species